GUCUUUGGUUAUCUAGCUGUAUGAGUGUAUGUGAUGUCAUAAAGCUAGAGAACCGAAUGU
rnacentral:pre_miRNA from 13 species